rnacentral:piRNA from 1 species
AUUAGACCUAUUGAACGCACCCCUUUCU